rnacentral:rRNA from 1 species
UACGAAGGGGGCUAGCGUUGUUCGGAAUUACUGGGCGUAAAGCGCACGUAGGCGGAUCGAUCAGUCAGGGGUGAAAUCCCAGGGCUCAACCCUGGAACUGCCUUUGAUACUGUCGAUCUGGAGUAUGGAAGAGGUGAGUGGAAUUCCGAGUGUAGCGGUGAAAUGCGUAGAUAUCGAGAGGAACACCUGCGGCGAAGGCGGGUAGCUGGGCCGACACUGACGCUGAGGCGCGAAAGCCAGGGGAGCGAACGGG